CUUUGGAGGCUUGGUGAGAGAUUUGGUCGCGUAAGACUUGGACUAUCUCGACGAAGAGUUGAGUUCUUAAAUUGAUAAGUUGCAUUGGAUCAGCAACCUCGAAGAUCUGAUUUCAACAAUAACGAUGCGUAAGCUCGAGAUUCGUAGUUUCCAUUUUGCAGGACGUUCGUUAAGGACUGGAUGAUUUCCCCAUUAUUGCCUAUAAGAGUCUUAAGCCCGGAUAUAGAUAAUUGAAGACCGUAGAGAAUGCUUAAGGCCUCAUCACUUGGUCUUGUGACCUCAAUCGCAUCACCAUCCGAAGUUGAUUCUUCGAAUGAUAAAGAGUUAAAGCUAUUCACGAUUGAAGCCAAGAACUC
rnacentral:misc_RNA from 1 species